rnacentral:lncRNA from 1 species
GAAGAGAGAGAGAGAGAUAAGGGAAGGGGAGGAGAGAAAGGGAGAUGUCAUCAGAGAUAGGGCUGACAGACUAACAUGCAGUCAACUGAAUAUCUUUUCAUUACUGACUUCUCACCAGUGAUGCCAUCAUAACCAGUAACCUUUUCCACUCUUGGUCCGGCUCAGCUUGACCCUGACCUCUGAAAUUAAUGAUUUAAAAAACUGACAAAAGCAAAUGUAUUAAAUUAGAUUUAAACUCCUCUUACACAUUGCAUGGAAGGGGAAUGUACACUUCAUGACAAAAAGUAUGUGGACACCUGCUCAUCUAACAUCUCAUUCCAAAAUCAUGGGCAUUAAUAUGGAGUUGGUCCCUCCUUUGCUGCUAUAACAGCCUCCACUCUUCUGGGAAGGCUUUCCACUAGAUGUUGGAACAUUGCUGCAGGGACUUGCUUCCAUUCAGCAACAAGAGCAUUAGUGAGGUUGGGCACUGAUGUUGUGCGAUUAGACCUGACUCAUCGGCGUUUGAGCUCAGGACUAUGUGCAGGCCAGACAAGGUCUCGUGUUUUCAUCACUCCAGAGAACAUGUUUUCAUCGCUCCAGAGAAGAUGUUUUAAUCGCUCCAGAGAACGUGUUUUCAUCGCUCCAGACAACGUGUUUUCAUCACUCCAGACAACGUGUUUUCAUCGCUCCAGAGAACGUGUUUUCAUCGCUCCAGACAACGUGUUUUCAUCGCUCCAGACAACGUGUUUUCAUCGCUCCAGACAACGUGUUUUCAUCGCUCCAGACAACGUGUUUUCAUUGCUCCAGAGAACGUGUUUUCAUCGCUCCAGACAACGUGUUUUCAUCGCUCCAGACAAUGUGUUUUCAGAACAUGUUUUCAUCGCUCCAGAGAACGUGUUUUCUCCAGAGUCCAAUGGAGGCGAGCUUUACAUCUCUCCAGAUGACCCUUAGCGUUGUGCAUGGUGAACUUAGGCUUGUGUGUGGCUGCUUGGCUAUAGAAACCCAUUUCAUGAAGCUCUCAACGAACAGUUCACGUGCUGACGUUGCUUCCAGAGGCCAUUUGGAAAUUGGUAGUGAGACGAUUUUUAUGCUCUAUGUUGCUCCUAGACGUCUCCUCUUCACAAUAACAGCACUUACAGUUGACCUGGGCAGCUCUAGCAGGGCAGACAUUUGACCAUCUGACUUGGAAAUGUGGCAUCCUAUCAGUGUGCCACGUUGAAAGUCACUGAACUCUUCAUUAAGGCCAUUCUACUGCCAAUGUUUGUCUAUGGAGAUUGCAUGGCUGAGUGCUUGAUUUAUACAUCUGUCAGGAAGGGGUGUGGCUGAAAUAGAAUCCAAUAAUUUGAAGGGGUGUCCACAUACUUUUGUAUAUAUAGUGUAUGUACACAUGGGUGUUGUUGCACCAUACCAACGAUAAGCCUAUCUUCCCCAUCACAUCUUGAAAGGUCAUGUUGAUGUUCAUUUAACCUCUGUCUCUCUCUUCCUCUGACUCCUCCCUUUCUCCUUUGUUUCUCUCUAUCUCUCUGUCUCUUUCUCUCUCUUUCUCCUCUGUCUCUCUCUUUCUCCUCAGAUCUCCAGGCUCAAAUCGUCAGUCCACCAGCUGAAUACUCAGUCAGACUGGUGAAUGGGACCACUUCCUGUUCUGGGACAGUGGAAGUAUUUUAUAAAGGAAAGUGGUUGGGUCUAUGUCCUGGGUGGUGGAGCAUGAGAGAGACUAAGGUUGUGUGUAGAGAGCUGGACUGUGGGAAUCCUGUAGCUGAAUCUAGACCUCUGGUUAAAGAGGGAAGAGGAGGAGUCAGACUAGAGAGUAGUUGUAAUGGACAUGAGUCUACUUUAAGACAGUGUGUCACCAAAACCUACACAUGU